UACGUAGGGUGCGAGCGUUGUCCGGAAUUAUUGGGCGUAAAGAGCUUGUAGGCGGUUUGUCGCGUCUGCUGUGAAAAUCCGGGGCUCAACCCCGGACUUGCAGUGGGUACGGGCAGACUAGAGUGUGGUAGGGGUGACUGGAAUUCCUGGUGUAGCGGUGGAAUGCGCAGAUAUCAGGAGGAACACCGAUGGCGAAGGCAGGUCACUGGGCCGCAACUGACGCUGAGGAGCGAAAGCAUGGGGAGCGAACAGG
rnacentral:rRNA from 1 species